CCUACACGGUUUGAAGCCCCAUUCACAGCAGAAGUCCUCUCUGGAACUGUAUUCUGAUUAGUUGCCUCUUUCAUUUUUGGUGGUUGAACACGUGAGGUCUCCUUAGUAUCGCCUGCUUUCACACCUGAAUUCGGCAUAAAUUUUCCCUGUAGAAUAGAUUUAGUAACUUCAGUUACAGCUUUACCAGAAAAUCAGUAUCCUUAGUAAUGACUCAAUUAUUCACCUCUGAGAAUCCAUCCAUAGCAUCUGAAAAUCCUCGUUUGUUGCCAGUAACAACUGUUUUCUGUGAUACAGCCAAAGCACUAUCUUUGGCAGGGUGCAAGGGAAAAAGCAGCUUCUCGUUCGAGGCCAAAGGGCAAGUCUCUAUGCCCCUUUCGGGAGAGAGGGACCCAGGGAGCCCGAGCCUGAGCUCAGUUGCCUUGAGAUUUAAUCCACAGGCAUUAUUGUCCUCUGAUGAGGUGGAAAUUGUACAACUGUCCACCGACGAACAAUCAGAAAGCCCCAUAUAGUUUCGCUCUUUAAGUUCUGAUCCUUUCUUGCAUAUACUUCCUAAGGAGGCCGAAGAAGCCAGUAGAGUUACAUUACUCUGGCCCUCCUCCUCCCUAACAUCAAGGAGUGGUGGAGACAUCACAAUUCAAAAUCACACUCCAAUACUUUUGCACUGCUCAUUUCAAGAAAACAAAAUCAUUACCUUACUCUCUUCAAAACAGAAUAUCAAGUUCAACGACUCAAUUGACGGCUCAGACAUAGAAGUAGUUUACAACAGUACAACACAAGGAGUGGUGGAGACAUCACAAUUCAAAAUCACACUCCAAUACUUUUGCACUGCUCAUUUCAAGAAAACAAAAUUAUUACCUUACUCUCUUCAAAACAGAAUAUCAAGUUCAACGACUCAAUUGACGGCUCACAAACAUAGAAGUAGUUUACAACAGUACAACAAAACACAACCCCCCGUCCCCCCGUCCCCAAAAAAAUGAAGUGUUCAAAUGGGUUUGUACAGUAGGUGUUGAACAAUGUACUUUAAACAUGUCUGGACUUAAAUGUUUUUUUUUUUUUGUGGAUAAAUAAUUAGCGAGGUAACUUUAGCAAAUAUCACAUUACAGUAGCAGCAAAAAAGAAAAUUCCUCUUAAAGCAGCCCUUUCUUUCAGAAAAUCACCACCAAAGAGAAAAAGAAAGAUCCUACGCAAAACCACAUAAGAGAGACGACAAAAGAAUAUUCUCCAUUACAAAAAGGAAAAACAUAAAAUAGAAAAGAAAAUCACGAAACAGAAAAAAAAAAAAAAUCCUUUACUUAACAACAAGUAUAUGAAGCUCAAACAGGAAAUAUAAUUGAUUUUAACCCACCAAAUAAAAAUUAAAGCUUCAGCAGCAGAUCUACAAAAUCAUAUGAAACAGAGUGCACAUAGAUAACAUGCAAAGGAAAAGGGAAGCGAAAGUCAAAAUUUCAAGAAGAAAAAACCAAGAUUAGUAGUUAAAAAAAUAAAUAAAUAAAGGACUGAAAAUCUUCUAACCUGUAAACCAAGCUAUUGAAUUGAUCUCUGAAGAAAAAACCCAAGAAGAAACAGAAGGAAGAAAGAUAAAGCAGUAGCAGCUGAAGAAGAAGAAGAAAGAAGAUGAUGAUGGUGGAGUAGUGAGGUUUUGCUUAGAGAGAGAAAGAGAAGAGAGAGAAAGAGAGAAAGAAAACUAAGGACCCUCCAUUUUGGCAGACAGUAACAAAAGCUUAUUUGCUGUCCUAUGUGAAACCUCUAUGCUUAUUUUAAAAUAAAAUAACUUCCCUAAAAGAAAAAUAAAAAGUAAAGAGUAAAAAACAAGGGGGUAAGGUUGUUCUUGG
rnacentral:lncRNA from 1 species